UGGGGAAUCUUCCGCAAUGGACGAAAGUCUGACGGAGCAACGCCGCGUGAGUGAUGACGGUCUUCGGAUUGUAAAGCUCUGUUAAUCGGGACGAAUGGUUUGUGUGCAAAUAGUGCAUAGACAUGACGGUACCGGAAUAGAAAGCCACGGCUAACUACGUGCCAGCAGCCGCGGUAAUACGUAGGUGGCAAGCGUUGUCCGGAAUUAUUGGGCGUAAAGCGCGCGCAGGCGGACUAGCCAGUCAGUCUUAAAAGUUCGGGGCUUAACCCCGUGAUGGGAUUGAAACUACUAGUCUAGAGUAUCGGAGAGGAAAGUGCAAUUCCUAGUGUAGCGGUGAAAUGCGUAGAUAUUAGGAAGAACACCAGUGGCGAAGGCGACUUUCUGGACGAACACUGACGCUGAGGCGCGAAAGCCAGGGGAGCGAACGGG
rnacentral:rRNA from 1 species